ACUGCUUCUCAGCCUUUUGGUUAAGAUCAAGUGUAGUAUUCUACCAUUAACUUUGUAAGCAGUUUUAUAGACUUCCAUUUUUAUUUUAUUUUAUUUUAAUUUUUUGUUUUUGUUUUUGGUACCAGGGAUUGAACUCAGGUCCUUGUGCUUGCGAGGCAGGUGCCGGAACCACUG
rnacentral:snRNA from 1 species